rnacentral:lncRNA from 1 species
GCAGCUCUAUCUGGCGGAGCCACUGAAAAAGAUUAGGUUGUAUUGCCCCCAUUGUCAUUACCUUGUAUGUUCUUAGGGCACUCUCUCAUGAAGUGACCAUUCUGACCACACUUGAAGAAACCAGUAGAGCCAUCAUGACGCGUUCCUGAGUGGUUCCUACCAUACUUAGCACAUGCAGGAUUUUCAUUACCUCUUUGUGCCACACUACCUUGAGACUGUGCAGGUCUAGCCCUGAAGUUCUGAGAAUUGUGAUCUCUCACUCACCUAUGUUCCUUGGUGUAGGUGCACUAGCAGGCGAUGGAGCAGGUCUAUUUGGCUUUUGCUGAAAAGAUGACUAGUUUGCAUUACUUUUCGGCUGCCUGGACUCGUUUCCUAUUGUCUUAGAUUUCUUGUUUAGGAACUCUUCUUAUCCCUCAGCUUACCUUCCUCAACAUAUUGCACAUGUAUCAUCAACCUUGCUAUGUCCAUGUCCCCUAUCAACAUCGCAGCCUUACCCUUAUUGCUUGACAGACAAGACAACCAAGACACAAACAAGUUCAUCAUGCU